CCACUACUCCCUCCGUUCGGAAUUACUGGUCCUGAAAAUGGAUGUAUCUAGAUGUAUUUUAGUUCUAGAUACAUCCAUUUCCGAGACAAGUAAUUUCAAACGGAGGGAGUACUUC
rfam:Triticum aestivum genome assembly, contig: Triticum_aestivum_CS42_TGACv1_scaffold_288231_4AL